GGACUACUGGGGUUUCUAAUCCUGUUCGCUCCCCACGCUUUCGCUCCUCAGCGUCAGUAUCGGCCCAGAGACCUGCCUUCGCCAUCGGUGUUCCUCCUGAUAUCUGCGCAUUUCAUCGCUACACCAGGAAUUCCAGUCUCCCCUACCGAACUCUAGCCUGCCCGUAUCGACUGCAGGCCCGCGGUUGAGCCGCGGGUUUUCACAGUCGACGCGACAAGCCGCCUACGAGCUCUUUACGCCCAAUAAAUCCGGACAACGCUCGCGCCCUACGUCUUACCGCGGCUGCUGGCAC
rnacentral:rRNA from 1 species